GAAGAAUGGCCCGGAUAAGAGUAUAAAAACGGCGACUAAAAAAAAAGGUUUAAGGCCGCCAGUGAGAGGUGUCAAAAAUCUUCACCAAAUCUGGUAUUUAUAGGCGUAAAACUAGGGGUUUUGGAAUAGAGUUUGGGCAGGAUUUCGAGUUGGGAUUUCAAAAUUGAGUCAAAGAGCCGUUUGAAAAAGAAAAUCAAAUUCUUGAUGUUGAUUUCACAUGCAGCAAAAUCAGAUUUUCUGAAAAGGAAUUUUGGCUUUAUAUAUUGAGCAUGUUGAUGAUAUAUGGGCAAAACAUCUGAAGUGCUAAGAUCGAAAGAGAAGGAAAGUUUCACCAAAAUAGGGUGACAUAUCUCUGUGAAAGAUUAAAACCGAUGGAGCUUGUCUAGAAG
rnacentral:lncRNA from 1 species